rnacentral:rRNA from 1 species
GAUGAACGCUAGCGGCAGGCCUAAUACAUGCAAGUCGAACGAGAUUGAGGAGCUUGCUCUUCAUGAAAGUGGCGCACGGGUGCGUAUCGCGUAUGCAACCUACCUUAAUCAGGGGGAUAGCCUCUCGAAAGAGAGAUUAACACCGCAUAACAUUAUUAUAUGGCAUCAUAUGAUAAUCAAAUAUUUAUAGGAUUAAGAUGGGCAUGCGUGACAUUAGUUAGUUGGCGGGGUAACGGCCCACCAAGACGAUGAUGUCUAGGGGAUCUGAGAGGAUGACCCCCCACACUGGUACUGAGACACGGACCAGACUCCUACGGGAGGCAGCAGUAAGGAAUAUUGGUCAAUGGGCGCAAGCCUGAACCAGCCAUGCCGCGUGCAGGAGGACGGCCCUACGGGUUGUAAACUGCUUUUAUACUGGAAUAAACCUACUUACGUGUAAGUAGCUGAAUGUACAGUAAGAAUAAGGAUCGGCUAACUCCGUGUCAGCAGCCGCGGUAAGAC